UAGCCUACGGGGGGCAGCAGUGGGGAAUAUUGCACAAUGGGGGAAACCCUGAUGCAGCGACGCCGCGUGAGUGAAGAAGUAUUUCGGUAUGUAAAGCUCUAUCAGCAGGGAAGAAAAUGACGGUACCUGACUAAGAAGCCCCGGCUAACUACGUGCCAGCAGCCGCGGUAAUACGUAGGGGGCAAGCGUUAUCCGGAUUUACUGGGUGUAAAGGGAGCGUAGACGGCAGUGCAAGCCUGGAGUGAAAGGAUGGGGCCCAACCCCAUGACUGCUCUGGGAACUGUACAGCUAGAGUGCCGGAGGGG
rnacentral:rRNA from 1 species